rnacentral:lncRNA from 1 species
AUGCAUGGUGUAAAGAUACUGGAGUUGCGAGGUCAUCAGAGUACCCAGAGGUGCAGCGUGUCACUGAUAAGCUGCUGGAGACACUAGAGGAAUUUAUGAGGGACCGGGCGAAGCGGCCAAAGAGCCCACCACGGGAGCCUGAGCCUGAGCCUGUCAAGGAAGAACCUGAGCCAGAUAUGAACGAAAUCAAAGCGCUUCCAGCACCUGAGGAUUUUAAGGUGCCUGAACCUGAGAAGGUUGAGGAAGAGGUGAAGCCAGAGCCACCCCCGCAGCCACAGGGUGACUUGGUGGAUCUCAGAGAAGAUACUGUAAGUGCAGAUGAAC